rnacentral:lncRNA from 1 species
GUGAGGGGGGCCCGGGAGGUGGGUGCCUUGGGGGUGGUCCCAACUGGGUGGGGUUGGGGAGCCUGGGGGCACCAUACGGGUAUAAGAAUUCAUUUUGGACACAGUGUGUGUCCCCUUCUGCGGAACCUUUGAGCUCAAUAGCCCAAGGGCAGGCCAGGCUCACCGCCCCUUUGGCUGUUGCCACUCUGGGUCAGUCUCCAGGGGCAAGGACAGGUUGGCAGUGUCCCCCCUCUGCCUGACUCCAGUCUGGGCAUUUCUGGAGCAUCCUGUGCGCCUGGCUCAGCCCAGCAAGCUGACAUUUGAAAGCUCACAGCUGUCCUGUGAGGUGGGUGAUUCCCGUGUCGUUUCAUGGUGAAGAAGCCAAGGCCAGGACAGAAGUGACCUGUCCCCGGGCCACAGCUGGGCAGGGGCGGAGUUGGCAUUUGAACCCAGCUGCGUGCCUCUUGAGUGCUGCUCUGUGGGCCCCGCAGCCUCCUGUCAGCUCCUUCUGGCGCCUGCUCUGUGGGUGUUCCUUUUGUCUAAGGCGCCUGCAGCCCUCAGAGGGUCUGUGGGGUGGGGACAGAGCUCAGCACCCCGCAUCCACCAGCACCAUCUCCGACCUCUGUGCAGGCUUCGUGUUAGAGGUGGCAGCCAGGUCCUGCCAACGGAAGAUGCUGGGCCUUGGAAACAGCCUGCACUGUAGGUGACCCGGCCGGCCGGGCCCAAACUGGCUGCCAAGAAAAGGGAGCGGGAAAGGAAAACAGCUCUCGGCCACAUCGCCUGUGUAACCGAAUCUGUUUUCAAAGCCCCUCGCAACGCGGGCUCCGCAUUCGGCAGGGCAGGCACUCGCCGCCAGAUCCCCGAGGACUGCUCAGGGGGUCUUCUGGGAGGAGCUCAAAGCGAGUUUGUUUUCGGGGAGGAGGUCAUUGCACUCAAGGUCCCCGUGACUGCAGCGUUCUCAAACGUCCUGCCAUGUGCUGGGAUAACCCCACCCACCGCAGGCGUGCCCUCCGUGGGGCAGGGAGGGGAAGCAGGUUUGGGCUGUUAGGGCUGCAAGCCAAGGGGCCUGCAGGGCAUCUUAGUGAGCUGCUUUGGUGUCCCUGCAGUUGGCGACACCCAUUGUCACACCCCCUCGGCACCCUCGGUCUCCCACAUGACAGACUUACCUGGGGAUGCAAACAGGGCUGGUGAUGACCUUGGCCCUGUGCGGUGGGGUGGCCGUUUAUGAUGGGGCCUGCACUCAACUCACUUUCAGGUCUAGAUGCGGGGACCGGGGGAGGUGUCAGCUGGGCUGGGCUGGGCACGACUAGACUGUGGCCCCGUCUGCGGGAGCCCGGCCACCACCUCAGCAACGCCACCUCCUUAGGAUGUGGGGGCGGGAUUUACUCUCGAGACUCUUAGAGCCAGCGGGUGGCUGGAGGCUCAUAGCCUGGCCCAGGCAGCUGGGGGAGGGCUUUGCUGGUGCCUGGGACCCCCCACCCCCUGCAUUCUCGCCUUUGCUUUCUCUUUUGCUCUCGUCUUUAACAACAUCUCUCCACUCCUCCCCUCCCUCCCUCCUCUGGCCUGCCCGCUCCUUCAUUCCUUCUCUGCUCCUAACCCCCGCAUAGAGGAGCCUGGGGAGCCCGCAGCCUCCUGACCCCAUGUUCCUCUUUCUCUCCUGUCUUCCUGGAGACGUCUGCCACUGACAGUCUUGGAGCCCUGUCAAGGGGACCUGUCCUGCGCUGGGCUGUCCACAGAGGAGCAGCGUGGAGGAGCUGGGAGUGCCCAGCCUGCCUGUGGGCUGCAUUGCCGCUUCCUGCCCAGGAGCCCUGCAGCCGUCUGUCCGCCUCUGAGUAGGACAGUGGGGUUUCCUGGCCAGGAGCAGAGUUUGUCACAUUCCAGUUAUGUCUGCCCAAUGUUCAGCUUUUGGGCAAGGGGUGCCGGUGGUUGAAGAGGCCCCUCUGGGCAGGAACCUCUCACCUGGGGCACGGCUGAAACCAAAGAAUUCAAGCUCCAUAAGGAAGAACCUAGAGGCCCCCCACGUCAGCCUGCCCCAGCCUGGAGCUUACCCACCAUGGAAAUGUGUCUGUUGGCCUUACAGAGGAGAAGGCAUUUGGGCAGGGCUUUGAGCCCAGGGCCUUCCACGCUCCUGGGGGCUGCGGGGACAGAUCCAAGAACAUGGGCCCUGGGGCCAUGGUGUCCGAUUCAACCCACGCUUCCUCCCUGUUGACACCGGGCAACUUGCUGAGCCGCUCCGUGCCUCAGUUUCCUCGUCUGUAAAGUGGGAUUCAUAGUAGCUCCUUCCCGACUGGGCUGUCUGGGGAUUGGUGAGUGAUGCCGUGGGGCAGGAUCAUGAUUUACGGGGUGCCUGUAUGUUCUCCCAGAGACGGGAAGGGCCCUGAGGGGUGACUCCUCACCAGAUAGCGGGGUCUCCCAGGGACUAAGCAGGUGGGAGGGAUGGGCGCUGCCCUACUGUGCAGAGCCUUGGCGGGAUCCCUUGACGCUGUCCCCAGGCUCUGCGGGGCCAGGAAUAGGGCCACUGGGCCUGGGGUCCUUGUAGUUCAAGGGUCACCCUGAACUGCGGGGCUCUAACUAUAGAGACCCUGGGGCAGUGACGCCUGUGCAACCUGCCCGCCUGUCACUCCCUCCCCCAACCCCUCACACUUGCCCUGCCUCCUUGACCUGCCCUGCCCACCCCUCACCCUCACCCUCACGCUGCCCCCUUAUCCCGCCCCUGGCACCUGCCCUGCCCUUCCCCUCCUGUGAUGGUUAAUACUGAGUGUCAACUUGAUUGGACUGAAGGAUGCAAAGUAUCGAUCCUGGGUGUGUCUGUGAGUGUGUUGCCAAAGAAGAUUAACAUUUGAGUCAGUGGCUGGGAAAGGCAGACCCAUCCUUAAUCUGGGUGGGCACCAUCUAAUCAGCUGCCAGCUCUGCUAGAAUAUAAAGCAGGCAGAAAAACGUGAAAAGGCUAGACUGGCCUAGCCUCCCAGCCUACAGCUUUCUCUGUGCUGGAUGCUUCCUGCCCUCGAACAUUGGACUCCAAGUUCUUCAGCUUUGGGGCUCAGACUGGCUCUUCUUGCUCCUCAGCCUGCAGACGGCCUAUUAUGAGACCUUGUGAUCACAUGAGUUAAUACUCCUUAAUAAAGCCGCCUUUAUAUAUACAUCUGUCCUGUGAGUUCUGUCCCUCUAGAGAACCCUGACGAAUACAACGCCCCUCACCCUCACACUGGCCCUGUCCCCCUUGCUCCUGCUGUGCCCAGCGCCCCUGCCUGUUCCUUCCCAUGCCACAGGGAGCUCUGGACACAGAGUGAUCACAGAA